CCUACGGGAGGCAGCAGUGAGGAAUAUUGGUCAAUGGACGCAAGUCUGAACCAGCCAUGCCGCGUGCAGGAAGACGGCUCUAUGAGUUGUAAACUGCUUUUGUACGAGGGUAAACGCAGAUACGCGUAUCUGUCUGAAAGUAUCGUACGAAUAAGGAUCGGCUAACUCCGUGCCAGCAGCCGCGGUAAUACGGAGGAUUCAAGCGUUAUCCGGAUUUAUUGGGUUUAAAGGGUGCGUAGGCGGUCGGAUAAGUUAGAGGUGAAAUCCCGAGGCUCAACUUCGGAAUUGCCUCUGAUACUGGUCGGCUAGAGAGUAGUAGAGGGAGGCGGAAUGUAUGGUGUAGCGGUGAAAUGCUUAGAGAUCAUGCAGAACACCGAUUGCGAAGGCAGCCUCCCAGACUACGACUGACGUUGAGGUGCGAAAGCGUGGGGAGCAAACAGGAUUAGAUACCCUAGUAGUC
rnacentral:rRNA from 1 species